AUUCCUUUAUCUUGACACAUAGCAGUGUAGGGAACAGACUAAAUGCAGGCGCAGUACGUGAUGGCUGGCUUCUUGCAUUACGACCCCGAGCCACAGCCCCCUGGCCGACAAGAGGGAUAUCAACGAGGUGCAAGAAUCCGUGAGGAUGUCAUGCGGCGUUUGUAAAGAAAGACAAAACUCAAGGACUGCGUCAGUGAGUACCCGACCACUUUUGGACGUGCCAGACGCAGAAGGGGCACU